CAGCAGCCGCGGUAAUACGUAGGGUGCAAGCGUUAAUCGGAAUUACUGGGCGUAAAGCGUGCGCAGGCGGUUUGUUAAGACAGAUGUGAAAUCCCCGGGCUCAACCUGGGAACUGCAUUUGUGACUGGCAAGCUAGAGUGUGGCAGAGGGGGGUGGAAUUCCGCGUGUAGCAGUGAAAUGCGUAGAUAUGCGGAGGAACACCGAUGGCGAAGGCAGCCCCCUGGGCCAACACUGACGCUCAUGCACGAAAGCGUGGGGAGCAAACAGGAUUAGAUACCCCUGUAGUCCCUGUCUCUUAUAA
rnacentral:rRNA from 1 species